CUUUAGCCUUGAUUGUACCGAGUGUCUUUUUUGCCUACCAACUUUUUCAAGAAAAAAAAUACAAGCAAAAAGUAGAAUUAUUU
rnacentral:misc_RNA from 1 species